rnacentral:tRNA from 1 species
GGGCCCGUAGCUCAGCAUGGACAGAGCAUCGGCCCUCUAAGCCGGGGGUCGCGAGUUCAAAUCUCGCCGGGCCCG